CAGUAGCCGCGGUAAAACCAUCAGCCCAAGUGGUGGUCGCGUUUAUUGGGCCUAAAGCGCUCGUAGCCUAACCGGUAAGUUCCCCGUGAAAUCGGGUCGCCCAACGAUUCGGCUUGCGGGGAAUACUGUCGGUCUUGGGGCCGGGAGACGCCGAGGGUACUCCGGGGGUAGCGGUGAAAUGCUGUAAUCCUCGGGGGACUACCAGUGGCGAAGGCGCUCGGCGAUAACGGGCCUGACGGUGAGGGGCGAAAGCUGGGGGCGCGAACGGGAUUAGAGACCCCCGUAGUCCCUGUCUCUUAUU
rnacentral:rRNA from 1 species